rnacentral:rRNA from 1 species
UACGUAGGGGGCAAGCGUUGUCCGGAAUUAUUGGGCGUAAAGCGCGCGCAGGCGGUCCUUUAAGUCUGAUGUGAAAGCCCACGGCUCAACCGUGGAGGGUCAUUGGAAACUGGAGGACUUGAGUACAGAAGAGGAAAGCGGAAUUCCGAGUGUAGCGGUGAAAUGCGUAGAGAUGUGGAGGAACACCAGUGGCGAAGGCGGCUUUCUGGUCUGUAACUGACGCUGAGGCGCGAAAGCGUGGGGAGCAAACAGG